rnacentral:rRNA from 1 species
AAUACAUGCAAGUCGAGGGGCAGCAGUACAAUACCUAGUAUUGUAGCUGGCGACCGGCGCACGGGUGAGUAACGCGUACGCAACUUACCUCCAAGAGGGGAAUAGCCCUGGGAAACUGGGAUUAAUGCCCCAUGGUUUAAUGACACUGCCUGGUGUUAUUAAUAAAGCUUUGGUGCUUGGAGAUAGGCGUGCGUCCUAUUAGCUAGUUGGUGAGGUAACGGCUCACCAAGGCGAUGAUAGGUAGGGGGCGUGAGAGCGUGACCCCCCACACGGGUACUGAGACACGGACCCGACUCCUACGGGAGGCAGCAGUAAGGAAUAUUGGACAAUGGAGGCAACUCUGAUCCAGCCAUCCCGCGUGCAGGAUGAAUGCCCUUUGGGUUGUAAACUGCUUUUACUAGGGAAGAAAGGCAGUCAUUUAUGAUUAUUUGACGGUACCUAAAGAAUAAGCACCGGCUAACUCCGUGCCAGCAGCCGCGGUAAUACGGAGGGUGCAAGCGUUAUCCGGAUUUACUGGGUUUAAAGGGUGCGUAGGCGGCUUAUUAAGUCAUAGGUGAAAGGCAUCGGCUUAACCGAUGGAUUGCCUGUGAUACUGGUGAGCUUGAAUUGGGUUGAGGUUGGCGGAAUGUGACAUGUAGCGGUGAAAUGCAUAGAUAUGUCAUAGAACAUCGAUUGCGAAGGCAGCUGACUGGACCUUGAUUGACGCUGAGGCACGAAAGCGUGGGUAGCGAACAGGAUUAGAUACCCUGGUAGUCCACGCCCUAAACGAUGCUCACUCGAUAUUUGCUUUACGGAGUAAGUGUCCAAGCGAAAGCGUUAAGUGAGCCACCUGCGAGUACGUUCGCAGAUGAACUCAAGGAUUGACGGGGUCCGCACAGCGUGAGCAUGUGUUUAUCGAUGAUACGCGAGACUACUGGCUCGAUGAUAUGCCUGAUAGCUGAAGCUGCU